rnacentral:lncRNA from 1 species
UGCUCUGUUUUAACCUUUUCAGGUAAGACCAGGAGGUGCCGAACUUGAUCAUGAUGAUUCUGAUGAUUACAAAUCUCUGCAGGAAGGAUAUGUGAGUGUAUAUAAAUGUCGUUUUACUAACCAUUCAUCCUAGGGCAGUGGUUAAACAACUCAAAGAAAGAAAGCUCAUCUUGGAAAACAAAAAUGACAUUGUUUUUAACUUCAUUAAAUACACCACUUCCCAAUACAAACUUUCCUUUUCCUGGUUUUAGAAGUGGCACUUAGAAAAACAGUUAUAAGUAAAUAUAGCAAUUGCUGCACACACAAAUUUUGGCUAACAUAGUUAGCAAUUUUGUAUUUUUAGAUUACUGUUACUCCUCUUGCUGCUAUAUCUCAUGCGGAGAUAGAUUGCCAGAACUACUUUAAGGAUUGGCUACCAAGUGUCUCCGAACCCCCCUCAUCAUCUGCUUUAUAGUGCUGUAAGACCUCUGAUGCAGUUUUGAACUUUUGAUUUUAUAUGCCAACUUUAAUUGCAAUAUACUGCUAUCAAUAGUUGUAGCUUAUAAUUGUUGCCUAUAAUGUUCCCACUUCCCAGUAUUAUUUCAAUGGUUAUCAUUUGUGAAUGUUUUUUCUCUGCAGAUUACUCUAGUUUGCUGAAAGUGAUUUCAACUCAAUCAGCUGCUAAAGAGAUUAUUUGCUAGUAUCCAUGUCAGUGUCACCGUUCCAUUUUUGUCAAGGGGCUUGAAAUAUAUUUUUCCCUCAGUUUGUUAUAUGAUUGGCUGAGAAACCCUAUUUUAUGAAACCUAAUAAGGGUGUUUCCGAUACAUUUGUGAGACUCUUAAAUUACUUUUUAGCAUACUAUUCCAAACACAUACUAAAAUGUCAACUGUUGUAUGUAAACUGAAUGUCAGAUUGACUAGGUUAUCGCCUAUGCUGAACUACAAGAAGUGAAAUAAGGAACAAAUUAAGAUAAUUUUUUAAAUAAGAACUUGGUAUAUGCUUUAAAAACAAACUUUGAAAGAGUCUUGGGUUGGUGCUGUAGAAGUUAAGAGGGGGAAAAGAAAUCACUGUUUGUCAUAGAGAUUAUAAACAUUUUAUGUACAUUAGGAGUCUCUUUUCAAUUCUGUGCCGUGGCCAUGGCCUUGCAUCUUGAUGGCAAAGAAGGUGAAUUUGAUUCCACUAGUAUUGACCGGAGGACAUGCACGUCUUCACAGGGGCAAGACUUGACAUCUUCAUACAGAAUGUAAAUCCCUCUUCCUGAAAUGUUAGCAAAAUAUGUGAAACAUCAUAAAGGGGGUUGAAAGGAAGGAAGCAUUGUAGUUCCCCCAGUAGAUUGAAGGUGGCAAGAAAAAGAUAGUGUUUAUGUGUAAAGAGAGGCAUGUUGGGUGUAUAUCGAAUAGAAUUUUUAGCUGUUGUUCAUUGAUUUUGAAUUUUCUAUGAAAUUAGUAUACAUGCAUGUGUCUCAAUCCUAAUUUCUUUCUUUAUCUAUGCUAUAUUCCACUGAGCACGUGUUUCAAAUUAGUUCAUAAAAAGCUUUAUUUACCUUGAGUUUGUUUCAAGAAUCAUACUGUGGGGUAUUUACAUAUGAGAGGCAUAACCCCCAACCAAGGAUGAUUUGUUUGAAUUAAUGGUUAGGAAGCAUGAACGACAGCACCUAUUCUCUCAUCUCAUCUCCUCACCUACGUGGACACAUCAUGCUGAUGCCAACUUUAUAUCUACAUGAGAUUACCCAAUGGCACUUCACCAC